CUUAUGUUCUUGUGUAGAGUUUGUAUUUUUUUAACAAAGAUUCAUCAUACUUACUAAAUUAUGUAUAUGCACAAUAACUUAAGGUGACAUUAACAAAAUUACAUUUGAAGUUAUAUUUACUAACUUGUGAAUUAUUUCCAUAUAUAUGUAGAUUACAGAAACUAUCAUCAUUUAUGUUCUAAUAGGGUAUGUUAUAUAAAUCUCAUUCAAUAUUCAAUAUGGUAUAUUAAAAAUCUUAAAUUAAACAUAGUAGUUCAUGCUGUAAUCCAUGUACUCUGGAGGAGAAAGCAGAGAAUCAGAAAUUAAAGGUCAUCCUAAACCUGCCUGUGCUAUAUGAGCCCAUCUCAAACAAACCAAUUCACAGAAUACAUACAUACAUACUGACUUACAUAAUAUAUACACAUCGAACCAAUUCACAGAAUACAUACAUACAUACAUACAUACAUACAUACAUACUGACUUACAUAAUAUAUACACAUAUACACACAUUCAUACAUACCUAUGUACUGGUUCACAUGCAUACAUAAACAUAUACUUACAUCUAUAUAUGUACAUAAAAUCUUAUUGCACUGGCUCUUGCUUUCAUAGAAUGUCAAAUAAUGUAGAGGAACAUAAUUCAUUAUUUUAAUGAAAAUACUGUGUCAAUCAUGAUAAAAUUUUCAUUUCAGUAAUAAAAUGGCAGUUGCAAUAGCCAAAAUAUAUCACAUAUAAAACCCUGUUAUGUACAAUAACAAAUGCUAUAGCAACAGCAACAGUAAAUCUCCCUGGGUCACAAAUAAUUGGGACUACCAGACAGCUAGUUAUCCGGCCAACUUAAGAGUCCCAUUUUGGUGUUUCAAGAAAAAUACCAUGGGAAGAUGAGUGUUAUAGCCUCCUUUAUUUUAGUCCUUUCAGCAAAAAUGAUAGAUACCAUUUUCUGUCGCUUAACUAUAAACCAAUUACGGAACUUCCAACUUAAAGUGUGUGCAAUGUUAUGUAAAUAUGAGAAAAGGAAGGAGAUUUUUUUUUGAGUUUUUGCUAUCAUCAGGCACAUCGCACAGGAAAGGCAGUGAGGGACUUGCCCUCCCACUUCAGCAAGGCAAAUGCAGACGCGACUUGUCAGCUGCAGACAGACAGCUGUACACUGAAGAGGUUCACAAAGGAGGACGAAAUUAGAUCUUGAUAUCCACUCCUUUUCGCUUUACCAGGAAAGUUGAGCUCCACACAGACCAUUUUAUUUGAUGAAGUUAAAAACAUAAGACAUACUAAGAUGGGUGCCCGCGACAACAGAACUGUACACAUGCUAUAGCCUUUAUACUCACCAUGUACUUCAUUGGUCCAAAUAUUUAUAGUUCAUUGUUGUGACUGCCGAAACUGGCAACCACGAGGAUUGUUGUCUCAAUUAGGACAGUAAACAGAUUGUCUCUUUUUUUAAUGAAAAAAUCUAAAAUGUAAUACUUCACAGUUUCACAUGUUUAUUCAUCCAAACGAGCUAAAAAAUAAUGGUGCGACAUCUGUUCGAGAAACACUGGUACCUCAAAAUUUGGCUGCCUCCCCACCAAUUUGGUUGUUGUUUUAAAAAAUGAAAAAUAGGAGGGGGCACUGUCAUCAAAAAUCUUCUGGCGUGUAAAGUAACUUAUUUUUCUCGAAAUAAGCAUCCCCUAUCUGUUGCUAAGGAUACAAAAAAUUGUGUAACAAGGCGUUACUAUGCAGAAUAGGGCUGCAGUUCAAUUGUUUUAAGUGGUUCUCUGAUGCACUGGGACUGGUCCACAGUUGUGCACCUCUGCACACGACUCUCCGGUUCUCCUUUGUACUUACCUAUGCAAUUACAACCAAGGGAAACGGUGACACUGGUGUAGUGCUAAGAAGACAAGGCAGCGCUCUGCUAGGGGAGAAGUAGGAAGUGCCCCUCCCCCUGCCCCCAGAGAAGCCCCAGCUAGUCUUCAUCUGGGUCCAGAUCAGCGUCGAUAUUCGUGGACAGUCGGAGGUAAAAGAAAGCAUAGAAAGCCAGUAAGAGGGCCAGUAUAGCUGCAAGCAUGAGGCCAACCUCCUGGGGAAGAGAAAACGGGAAACCUGAGCAGAUGAAGAGACAAACUGACCUCUACCUUGGUAAAUGGCUGACCCUGGCCUCCAGCUCCUGUUCGUCCUUCUUCAGACUAAGGAAGAAAGAACAGAGUCAGUCCAUGACCCAGAAGGCUCUAGAAUACCAACUGGUUUCCACCUUUGCAUCACACUGCUUACCUUGCUUUGUUUCAUGGGGAAGCAAUUCAUUUGCAUUUGUAUGAAUAUAUUUUACAUUUCAUAUGAAUGUAAAAUAAAUAAUUCAACAUGUGCCACCUAAUAAACUUUAAAAAACAUUAAAAUGGAUCUGAUGUAUACCCAAAUUUCAGAUGAAUGUUGAAAAUAUGAAUAGACGUUAUGUACAGAUUUUCCGAUGCUUGAUUACAUUUAUUUAAAUAUCCAAAGUAUGAAAAUAAAUAUUAAUAAAAAACCCAUGUCAACAAAUUUUGUGUUACUUGAUUUUUAAAAUAUCAUACAUCCAUGUACUGUCAAACGAAAGUGAAAUUUUCUUUGUUACAGCUGGACCACUUUGACAUCUCUAAAGGGCAAGGAGGCAUCAGACAGGUUUCAUUUACUGUCUCCUAUCCACAGCUGUGCCCCCAGGCCCAUCUGGGUAAACGGCCACUAAUUUUAAGAGGAUGUAAUAAACAAGUGACACAGCCACCAACCCCAUCUGCUCUGUAAAGUGGACAACAGGAUUGAUCAACAGCAGCCGUCGCUUACAUAAGCUCAACCAAAGAAUGACUUUUUAUUCUCGAAUCAAGACCCUGUUUCUCAUCUUACUGGUAAUCAUUCUUAAUGACUGCUUUCCCAUCCACUGUUCUUAAGGUAACCUGCCAUUCCCUCAUAAAUGAGUUCAGGAUAUUCACAGGUAGUAAGAAGAGGGUUGGCCAUAGAAAGCAAAGAUUAUGUAUAUAGAAAGGCCCCUGUCCUUCAAUGCAAAUGCAGAUGAAUUAAAAAUC